rnacentral:rRNA from 1 species
UCUCGCGUCAGGAUAUGCCUAGGUGGGAUUAGCUAGUUGGUGAGGUAAGGGCUCACCAAGGCGACGAUCCCUAGCUGGUCUGAGAGGAUGAUCAGCCACACUGGAACUGAGACACGGUCCAGACUCCGUACGGGAGGCAGCAGUGGGGAAUAUUGCACAAUGGGCGCAAGCCUGAUGCAGCCAUGCCGCGUGUGUGAAGAAGGCCUUCGGGUUGUAAAGCACUUUCAGUCGUGAGGAAGGUAGUGUAGUUAAUAG